CUAUUGUUUAAAAAUAUUUUAGAAACUAUUGUUUAAAAACAUUUUAAAUAUAAAACAUUUUAAACUAGCCGUGAUCCGCUAGUGUUUCUUGAACUUGACAUGAUAUCUAACAAGCACACAUAAAAUAUUCAUGUUAUUUUCAAUCUUAAUACCCGUGUAUUGUAAUUUUCUCUUAAAAAUUGUAAGAAACAAGUGUGUACCUCUUGCUGUAGAACUUUAGUUGAUUGUAUUAGUGUUGGUGAAUACAAUAAUUCUCAUAUAUAUAGUGGAAGCAAACUAGACGUGAAAAGAGUCGAGAAAAAAAAAUGUUAAUUUUCUGUAUAGUUCAACUCACGUUAAUAGAGAUUUGCUAUUUUUUUAUUUUCCAUUUUGUUCCUUGCCAAUAUUGAUAGGGAAUAUUUUUCUUCUAUUAUUCCCUAAAUAAAGAGGAACGGAAAGAAAUUGUACAUAUUCCUUAUAUAUCAAAAGUUACUUAUGAAAAGUGAAAAGAAAAAGGAAUGAAUAGGAAUACAGUGUUUCCUCUCGUUCCAUUCCUUCUUAGCCGUCACCAGUCAAAUCCCCCCAUCCCCCCCUCA
rnacentral:lncRNA from 1 species